rnacentral:rRNA from 1 species
GACGAACGCUGGCGGCGUGCUUAACACAUGCAAGUCGAACGGAAAGGCCCUUCGGGUUUCUCGUGCUCGAGAGGGGAACGUAAGAGGAACAUGAGAUGAACCUGCCCUUGGCUUUGGGAUAGCUACAGGAAACUGGGGCUAAUAACUGAUACUAGCUCCUGCUGCAUGGUGGGGGAUGGAAAUUUGCGGCGGUUGGGGAUGGACUCGCGGCUUAUCAGCUUGUUGGUGGGGUAGUGGCUUACCAAGGCGGUGACGGGUAGCCGGCCUGAGAGGGUGACCGGCCACAUUGGGACUGAGAUACGGCCCAGACUCCUACGGGAGGCAGCAGUGGGGAAUAUUGCACAAUGGGCGGAAGCCUGAUGCAGCAACGCCGCGUGAGGGAUGACGGCCUUCGGGUUGUAAACCGCUUUCGCCAGGGACGAAGCGUGAGUGACGGUACUGGGUAAAGAAGCACCGGCUAACUACGUG